UACUUGGUUGAUCCUGCCAAGGAAGCACACUUAGGUCAUAGAUUAAGCCAUGCAAGUGUUAGUUCAGGUAACGAAACUGCGAAUAGCUCAUUAAUACGCUCAGAAUCUAUUUGGCGGCGACCAACAGGUCUUAAAUGGAUAGCAGCAGCAACUCUGGUGCUAAUACAUGCGAUUGUUUCUCCAGAUGUGAAUUAUGGAGGAAAAGUUGACCUCAUCAGAGGCACGCCAUUCGACUGAGUGACCUAUCAGCUUGUACUUAGGGUCUUUACCUAGGUAGGCUAUCACGGGUAACGGGCGGUUACCGUCGGACUGCCGGAGAAGGCGCCUGAGAGAUAGCGACUAUAUCCACGGGUAGCAGCAGGCGCGAAACUUUCCCACUCGAGACUUUCGGAGGAGGUAAUGACCAGUUCCAUUGGUGCCUUUUGGUACUGUGGAUAGGGGUACGGUUUUCCACCGUACCGAAACCUAGCAGAGGGCCAGUCUGGUGCCAGCAGCUGCGGUAAUUCCAGCUCUGCGAGUUUGCUCCCAUAUUGUUGCAGUUAAAACGCCCGUAGUCUGAAUUGGCCAGCAUGGUCGUACGUAUUUUUACGUUCACUGUGAACAAAUCAGGACGCUUAGAGUAUGGCCACAUGAAUGACUCAGCGCAGUAUGAAGUCUUUGUUUUCU
rnacentral:ncRNA from 1 species